AUUUGGGUGAAUAACAUCGCUCAAACAAAAAUUUUUUUUUUGAAAAAAAUUAAAAAAUCAGAAUAUAAAAUAAAAUUAAAAUACGAAAUAAAAAAUAAAUAUAAAAUAAAAGUUAUAUACCUACAUAUCCUACAUACAUUAAUAAUAACAAGAACGAAAAAUUAUCACAUUUCAUCAUGCCUGAAAUCUUAGAUCCAACUGGUCAAUACUAAAAAGUAAAGACCAUUGCCAAGGCAAUAUAUAAAUACUUCUGCACAAAUAUAUUAAAAAUAUAUACAUACAUUUGUAUAUAUAUAUAUAUAUAUAUACAAAACAUCAGAAAAGAAACACAGAAAAAAAAUUUAAGAAGUAGAAGAAAAACAGUAGAAAAAUAAAAGAAAAUAAUAUAUAAAAGAAGAAGCAAAAGAAGAAGAAGAAGAACACGACAAAAAAAAAAAGGGAAAAAUUAAUAUUUUUGCUCUCAGCUGAUUUUAACUUUGAUAUAGCUAUAUCGCAGUCAUCACAAUAUAACCUUUUCAUUAUAAAAAGCGUAUGUAAGAAUAUUGUGUGUGUGUGUGCCUUAACAGUUUUCAUCAACAUUUUUAAGAAAUUAUCUAAGAAUCCAGCAAUAUUUGAUCGUCGUCGUAACUCAUCAGACAGAGGGCAACAAAAAAAAAUAUAUGAAAGAAUUUACAAAAAUAUAUACGUACAAGUUUAUGUAAAUACAUACAUAUUUUUUUUUUUGUGGUAUUUAAUGUAAAUUUUUGGUCUCUACCAUUUCUUUCGGUUUAUUAUUUUCUCUUUUUACUAUUUUGUUGUUUUUGUUAUUAAUCUAUUAUAACACGUUGCUGUCAUCAUCAGUUUUACCAUCAUAUCGUUUGUUUUUUAUAUGCUGAGAGGCUACUCUAAAAGAAAUCCAUUAUAAAAAUAAUAAAAUAAAAAAAAAAGAAAAGUAAAAAUUAAAAAUAAACUCUUUUCUUUUUAUUUUUUCUAUACACAAAACAUCAAAAAUACAUUUACGAAAAUUUCUGUGCUGUCGUCGUUUUCGUCGUUGUCGUCGUCUUCGUUACUGUUGUCGUCUACGUUGUCAUUAAAUUAAAUAUUUUUUUUUUAUUUACUUGAACUCUUCUCAUAUUCUUUUAUAGCAUCUUUCAUUCAAUUUUAAUGAAAAUAUAAAAACAAUAAAUAUUAAAUAUUAAAAAUAAAAAACAAAUUAAAUUAUUA